UACGAAGGGGGCUUGCGUUGCUCGGAAUUACUGGGCGUAAAGCGCACGUAGGCGGUCUUUUAAGUCGGGGGUGAAAUCCUGGAGCUCAACUCCAGAACUGCCUUCGAUACUGGAAGACUUGAGUCCGGGAGAGGUGAGUGGAACUGCGAGUGUAGAGGUGAAAUUCGUAGAUAUUCGCAAGAACACCAGUGGCGAAGGCGGCUCACUGGCCCGGUACUGACGCUGAGGUGCGAAAGCGUGGGGAGCAAACAGG
rnacentral:rRNA from 1 species